rnacentral:rRNA from 1 species
GUGGGGAAUUUUGGACAAUGGGGGCAACCCUGAUCCAGCAAUGCCGCGUGCAGGAAGAAGGCCUUCGGGUUGUAAACUGCUUUUGUACGGAACGAAACGGUCCUGGUUAAUACCUGGGGCUCAUGACGGUACCGUAAGAAUAAGCACCGGCUAACUACGUGCCAGCAGCCGCGGUAAUACGUAGGGUGCAAGCGUUAAUCGGAAUUACUGGGCGUAAAGCGUGCGCAGGCGGUUUUGUAAGACAGACGUGAAAUCCCCGGGCUCAACCUGGGAAUGGCGUUUGUGACUGCAAAGCUGGAGUGCGGCAGAGGGGGAUGGAAUUCCGCGUGUAGCAGUGAAAUGCGUAGAUAUGCGGAGGAACACCGAUGGCGAAGGCAAUCCCCUGGGCCUGCACUGACGCUCAUGCACGAAAGCGUGGGGAGCAAACAGGAUUAGAAACCCGGGUAGUCC